AUGAUAGGGGCGGACGAACUGUACUUAAUACACGUUCAGCGUGCUGCUGGCAUUGGUCUCCCUGCUACGCUGGUCGUCAAGAAAUUUCGGAACAUGAACCAAGCACUACAGGUGGAUGACAAUGUCAAGAACCGCUGCAAGUCAGAGGUGAUCCUGUUAGCCAGAGACUGUCACGAUAACAUCAUCGGGAUCAUAGAUGUCAUUGAGAGGGAUGAAGCGAUCAUGCUCGUCUACAAGUACCCGGUGAAUGGCAGCCUUGACUACUGGCUGCACCAACGGGAGGGGGCCGAUCGGCUGCUGAGCUGGCCGCAGAGGAGGGCCAUUGCCAUCGGCGUCGCCAAAGGGCUCUGUCACUUGCACCAUGGAGGCAACAGGCCGAUUGUCCACCACAACAUCAACUCUAAGAACAUCUUGCUUGAUCAAAAUUUCAAUGCUGUGAUAGCUAGUUUUGAUGCUGCACAGAUGAACAUGGCCGGGCACGACCAACCGUUGCCAAUCGCGAACCUGCCUCUUGGUAACUUUGGGUACGCAGCUCCAGAAUAUGCGACCGCAGCAAGCCAACUGACAGAGAAGGUAGACACUUAUAGCUUUGGUGUGCUGAUGCUGGAGCUCGUCACCGGGCGGGUGGCCAAUGAAGCUAGAGCCGAUGGUCAUUUGGCGAUCUGGGCGCACCACUUCACUGGACUGAUGGCAAAACAAGUGGAAACGUUCGAGAGUGCCAUGGAGAAGGGCAUCCCAGAUCAAGCGCGGUACAUGGAGGAGAUGGCAACUGUGUUUAGGCUGGGCGUGGAUUGCACCGUUGUGGAUCCGAAGAAAAGACCAUCGAUGCGGAUGGCGCUCAAACGACUCCGCCGCAGCUGUGGGCGUGGCCCAUUCCGUGGCCUUCUCACCUGCUAUCUAAUGUGA
rnacentral:rRNA from 1 species